rnacentral:rRNA from 1 species
AUUGAACGCUGGCGGCGUGCUUAACACAUGCAAGUCGAACGGUAAGGCCCUUCGGGGUACACGAGUGGCGAACGGGUGAGUAACACGUGGGUGAUCUGCCCUGCACCUCGGGAUAAGCCUGGGAAACUGGGUCUAAUACCGGAUAGGACCACUGCCUGCAUGGGUGGGGGUGGAAAGCUUUUGCGGUGUGGGAUGAGCCCGCGGCCUAUCAGCUUGUUGGUGGGGUGAUGGCCUACCAAGGCGACGACGGGUAGCCGGCCUGAGAGGGUGACCGGCCACACUGGGACUGAGAUACGGCCCAGGCGCCUACGGGAGGCAGAAGUGGGGAAUAUUGCACAAUGGGCGCAAGCCUGAUGCAGCGACGCCGCGUGAGGGAUGACGGCCUUCGGGUUGUAAACCUCUUUCAGCACCGACGAAGCGCAAGUGACGGUAGGUGCAGAAGAAGGACCGGCCAACUACGUGCCAGCCGCCGCGGUAA